GAAUUCGGCUUAGAGUUUGAUCCUGGCUCAGAUUGAACGCUGGCGGCAUGCCUUACACAUGCAAGUCGAACGGCAGCACGGAGCUUGCUCUGGUGGCGAGUGGCGAACGGGUGAGUAAUAUAUCGGAACGUACCCUAGAGUGGGGGAUAACGUAGCGAAAGUUACGCUAAUACCGCAUACGAUCUAAGGAUGAAAGUGGGGGAUCGCAAGACCUCAUGCUCGUGGAGCGGCCGAUAUCUGAUUAGCUAGUUGGUAGGGUAAAAGCCUACCAAGGCAUCGAUCAGUAGCUGGUCUGAGAGGACGACCAGCCACACUGGAACUGAGACACGGUCCAGACUCCUACGGGAGGCAGCAGUGGGGAAUUUUGGACAAUGGGCGAAAGCCUGAUCCAGCAAUGCCGCGUGAGUGAAGAAGGCCUUCGGGUUGUAAAGCUCUUUUGUCAGGGAAGAAACGGUGAAAGCUAAUAUCUUUUGCUAAUGAC
rnacentral:rRNA from 1 species